rnacentral:rRNA from 1 species
GGAAUAAUAAGAUAAGGGCUUGGUUGGAUUGUGGUGGUUUCUAGAAUUGAGGUAAUGAUGAAUCGGGAUACUUGGGGGGCUACGAAUUUAAUUGUCAGAGGUGAAAUUCUUGGAUUUGUUAAAGACGGACUACUGUGAAAGUAUUUGGCAAGAAUGUUUUCAUUGAUCAAGAAUGAAAGUUAGGGGGUCGAAGAUGAUCAGAUACCGUCUUAGUCUUAACCAUUUUUUCUAUGCCACUAGAGAUUGGAGGUCGUUCUUUUUAUGACUCCUUCAGCACCUUAUGAGAAAUCAAAGUCUUUGGGUUCCGGGGGGAGUAUGGUCGCAAGGCUGAAACUUAAAGGAAUUGACGGAAGGGCACCACCAGGAGUGGAGCCUGGGGCUUAAUUUGACUCAACACGGGGAAACU